rnacentral:lncRNA from 1 species
GCCACUUAUUAUGAUGGAAGUGGGCUGGGCUGGCUGGAGGAAAUGAAUUGAAAUGUGGCUGAGCAGUAAACACCAAUCGGGAUGGCAACAUGGAUAUUUUUGGACACGCAAAUCUGAAUGGUAUCUUGAUUGUGCGAGGACUUUUCUUGCAGAUUUGGUACUUGUGGUAGGUUUUUACACGGAGGAGCCCCAAAAGGCUUGAGUGGAGGUGGAAUGAUUUGUAAUGAGAAAAUGACAGCGGACCUAGUCCUUGGAAUCUGAGUAGAAUCCUUAACAAACCGAAAAUCAUGAAGCGGUCGUGUUGUGUUGUCUUGUUCAUUCCCGUGGCCAGAAAAUGGUUUAGAAUUGUCAUAUAACAAGUUCAGUCUGUCUUUUGAUUGAAGGAAUAUUAGAAGUAGAAGAACAAUUUGUUGAUUGACUUGUAUGGAUUGAAAAGAUUUGUUAGAUGCAUAAUAAAUUAAUUCAUGUCCAUCAUAAGGUUUGUUGGAUCAUGCUUUGAAAGGUCU